CUGCUGGGAAGAUGCCAGCUGCAGUGGGGGAGGCGCAGUCAGGGCUGUGUGCUCCAUGGAGCUGGCAGGAGCAGGGAAUAAG
rnacentral:pre_miRNA from 1 species